rnacentral:rRNA from 1 species
GACGUAGGGCGCGAGCGUUUGUCCGGAUUUAUUGGGCGUAAAGAGCUCGUAGGUGGUUUGUCGCGUUGUUCGUGAAAACUCACAGCUUAACUGUGGGCGUGCGGGCGAUACGGGCAGACUGGAGUACUGCAGGGGGAGACUGGAAUUCCUGGUGUAGCGGUGGAAUGCGCAGAUAUCAGGAGGAACACCGGUGGCGAAGGCGGGUCUCUGGACAGUUCCUGACACUGAGACACGAAGGCCAGGGGAGGCAAACGGG